UGGACUGGACCGGACCGGACCGGACGGCGGCGAGAAGUCACCAUGACCCCAGCCCUGAGAGAGUCAGCAACAAAGGCACGUGGUGUCCACUUAUCUUCCUUGUCAACUAAAACCAUGGAACCCAGUGCUCUGUUGAAAACCGCAAGUCCGAGAGCUGUUGAAGAGAUGCCAAAGAAGGAUUGCAGCUCGCAGAUUAAUUGCUCGGUAUUUAGGUUUCCCACUCCUGAGCCCAGAGUCAAUAAUCAUUUGGUGAAUUUAAAGCCCUUUGGCUCUCUUCAGCCCUCAAAUCAGUAUCAGACCACCUUACUAAUGAGUUCUCCUUCCUCUUUAAAAACCUACGACAACAAUAGCGUGCAAAGGAAAUUAGGGGAGCCCUACUGCAGUGGACUGAAAAAUGGCACCGGCCCUCAGUUUAGAAGAAUAGGUCACUCCCAGUCUGAGGAGUUGAUCGACAAGGGGCCCAAAUCAGAUGUGCCAACAAGGUGCCAUCGCGUGAUUGAGGUGAAGAGGGCUUUGGUUUCAAAUGCAACUAAAGUCAACAGUGGAGACAAAACACAGCCACGAAACUGUAAGUGGUGCCCAAGCAACGGGUUUCUAAGUAAGACUUCCAAUGCCAAAAUUCAAAGGAAUAUAUUGCAUUGUCCCCAAAAGAAAGUCUGGCCUGGACACCCAGACUCGAUUAUGAGCUCCCUUGCCACUAGGAAAGAGAAGGAGGUGAAUGCUCGUUUAGUUCAGUGUGUAAAGAAACAGAAAGUUCUGCUCUCCCAGGCCCAGAGGACUCAGAAACACUUGCAGAUGCUCCUGGCCAAGCAUGUGGUUAAACACUGUGGUCAGCAAUUGAGGUGUUGUGUGAAGCAUCAGCUCCAGAAGCUGAAGGCCUCUGGAGAACCUUCCGGAGCCUGGGACCUCAGCUUUCCUGGUUGUACCGAGGUGAAUUCAGCAGCCAGCCUAUCUACCGUGGAGAAUGGUUCUUGGAGAGACCCAAAAACCGGCUUUGCGAGAAGUGCUGCCUCUAAAUUCCAGAGGUUUGUGCUCUCAGCUGCAGGACUGUUGUCCCACGUUGAGGAAAAUCUGGACUCUGAGGCAACCGGCAGCAGCUCGGAUGAAGAGUGGAAUGAAAAGCCGGUUAAUAAAAACGCGGCGGCGAACUGCAGUUCUGAAUGGAGGUGGCUUGUAGACAGAGCUAGAAUUGGCAGUCGCUGGGCCUGGCUUCAAGCCCAAAUUUCAGAGCUAGAAUGUAAAAUUCAACAACUAACUGGCAUUCACAGGCAGAUUCGUGCUAACAAGGGAAUGGUGAUCCUAGAGGAAUGCAAACUUCCAAAACACAAUUCGAUGAAGCAGAUACAAUUGACAGACCAAGCCGCUUUGUUGAGCCCAAUGAGGAAUUCUCAAAUUCCAAUGGAGCGACCUGAAUCUUUGCUGGAACAAGAUUUUGAAUUGUCACCAAGCAGCCCAACUUUACUUCUGCAAAACAUAGAAAGACAGAGUGCUCAGUUGACUGAAAUCAUCAGUAGUCUGAUUGCUCCGUUCAGCCAGUCACCGACGUCUUCUCCACUUUCCUCCAAAUCCUAUAGACACAAACACCUGACCAAUGGCAUCUCUUGUAGUUUUUCAGAGAACGUAGGUCAGCGGCCUCCCUCCAGUAGUUGGUUACGUAGUGAGAAGCAAGUUAAGAAAAGGGGAAAAGACAGGACAAGAACGAAAUCUCCGUCGACGAUUACCACGUGCACAUCUGCCCGUACAAGGCCACUUCAGAGUUUCCACAAACGAAAACUCUACAGAUUGAAUCCGAGUCCUGCAUGUUGUUUGAGUCAGCAGGCUUUGCCCUCCAAAGAUGUCCUGAAUCACCUUUCUGUGCACAUGCCUUGCAUGAUGCCCACGUCAACCUGGAGCGCUUGCGAUCACACUGCAAAACCUGGGCUUUCGAGCCACCGUGUUCACGAGCUGGAUGCCUCUUUCCAUCCUGUAUUAUCACUCCCCACAGAUGUUCCACUUCACUUAUACUUUGAAACAAUGGUAAAAGGGAAUGAGAUGAAAAGAGAUUCUUCUGAGACCGCAUUUCUGGAACGAGAGGUGCAUUUUACUCAUCAUACUACUCCUGAGGAAUGGAGAAAUGGGCAUUCUCCCAUAUGCAAAUCUCAAACAAAAUCAGAGACCACAGCACAACUGUUAGAAGAAGGAAAGAAGCAGCAUUUAAGUGAAACCUCACCAGGGACAGGAGAAAAAAAUAGGUUUGAAGAAUUUACACUGCAAAAUGCAGACCCAGGAGCACUUCACCAUUUCACGGCAGUUUCUGAUGUCCAGGUCCUCUCCAGAUCAAUCCCAACCACACCACAGAGUGCAAGACGGAGAAUUAGAAGUGAAAGCUCUUAUGAUAUAGAUAAUAUUGUGAUUCCCAUGUCUUUGGUGGCUCCUGCCAAACUGGAGAAGCUUCAGUACAAAGAAAUUCUUACUCCAAGCUGGCGGAUUGUGGAUCUUCAACCUUCAGAACCUUUGGAAAAGCCUUCUUUAGGUGAAGAAGAGAGAGAAGACCUUUCUGAUGAAGUCUUUUCACUACGCCAUAAACACUACGAAGAAAAAGAGCAAACCAGGUGGUCCCUGUGGGAACAAAGCAAGUGGCAAAAAAGAAUCAACAGGUCUUUAGGCAAAAAUCCUGAUGGGCAAGAGAGCCAAGUUUCAGUACUGAAGGAAAAUAGCAACAUUUGUACUGUUCCAUGCUGCGCUGCUGAAACUACUCCCGACCAACCCUCUGAAGUUCACAAUUAUUUGUGUGUGGAUGUCUCACCGAUCUUGGAUGAAAACCAAGAAGCUAAGUCUGGGUGGUGGGAACGGAGAGUUUUUCCACUUAAGAAUGAAGAAAUAGCAGCCUUACUGUGCCAGGAUGAGACAGCAGAUCAACCUGAAAGGUCGGCCAUGACUCUCCAUGGAGAUGACUUAUGUGCACAAGUAGCCAGUGGAUCCACCUGUCAAGAAAGCAAUUCCCGGGAGGACUGGAAGAUGGGAGUCAUUUGCAGCAAUUCCUGCAGAGGUGAGAUUUAAUCCUUUAGAAUAAUUUAUUUCUGUUAGACUAUUUUCUAGGUCACUGAGAGGCAAGACAAGCAGAAAAGAGUUAACGUUUAACUACUGGUGCUUUUUCAAUCACCAGAUCUCUGAAAGUUCAGCUAAGGCAUCCAAUCUUCUAGCUUUUAUUCUGUGUAAAAGGGGCCACAUAAAAAUAACCUACUUAUUUGAAAGUGAAAAGAAGAAAUUGUGUAAUGGGUUUUUGAUUCUUUAAUUCCCUGAAGUUUUCCAUGCAUUUUACUUAUUCUAAUCUAUUUUAAUUCAAGAGUGAGGUUUGCUGGUUAAAACACCCAGCCUCCGCAAGCCUGAAUGCGUACCACACGUUCCUAGUGGAAUCCAAGUUAGUACACUAGUCGUGUUUUUCUGUCACAGGAAAUUAUACAAAUAACAUCUUUGUUGAACAUGUUCUCCAAGUUGUUAAGGAUCCAGAUAACCGGCCCUGGCUUAGUUUGUGUGAUUUUACACCAAGCUUUGGUCAACUGAUGUGAAAUUGUCUAUCUCUAAAGCAGGAUCAGUUCCCAGCAAUUGGAAAGUUAAAGUAAGGACGGUGAACUAAAACCCACUUUUUUCACCAACUACUUCAACUGCCUUGCUCUGCUGAAGAACUACCAAGCCAAAUAAAUCUCGCUGACUUUUCCUCACAGCUGAACAAGAUGAAAGUAGAAGGAACAGGGUCUUUCCAAAAGGUGAGGAAGUGCCUGUUUGACCUUUUUGGAAGGAUGUACUCUAGACCGCAAGCUCAUUGUGGGCAAGGAAUGUAUCGCCCAGCUCUGUUGUAUGUACCCUCCCAAGCGAUGAAAACACUGCCCUGCAGAGUAAGCACUCAAAUGCCAUUGAUGGAUGUGCUGUGACAUCGAAUAAAUGCAUUUUGCCAUUUCCCUAACA